rnacentral:siRNA from 1 species
CACGAGACACUUCAUGGGCAG